rnacentral:rRNA from 17 species
AAUACUAAAUAAUAUAUUUUUAAGGAAAUAUAAAAAAGAAUAUUUUUGCUAAAAGAUAAUUUUAUGUAGGAUUAGGUUGUUGGUAAGAUAAAUGCUUACCAAGCCUAGGAUCCUUAGUUGAUCUGAGAGGAUGGUCAGCCACAUUGGGACUUAGACAAGGCCCAAACUUAUGAUAAGGCAGCAGUGAGGAAUAUUGGACAAU